UUGCUAACAUCUGGUAUAAAAUCCUUCCCCUCGUCGAUGUGCCCAAAACGUCUUCUACUUUUACUACCAAUCACCUGUCCACAGGUUUGAUAUUUGCCGCUUCGUUAUGCCCACAGCUUCUUCGUUGGUAUCAUGGCGUUGGCACAAUUUCUUUGUGCAAUGCCGCCACCUGCUGUGAGGUAUGGAAGGCCAAGAGCUUACCCAGAACACUUGUAAUUAUCAUUUUUCACUUGCUUUUUUCAAGUGUCAAAUGUAAUUUUUUUAUACUAUCGAUUUUUGUUCACCUGUCCAGUUCGUUUACAGGUGCUUUGAACGCUUGUUAUGGGCAUUUUUAUAUGGAAGGUCAAGAGUUUCAAAUCAUGUUGAUUUCAACGCUUGUUAUGGGAAAUUUUACACGAGUUCAUUACAGCUGCAUUUACAAGCCACAACAUGAUGAUCAUGUAUUCAAGCAUCUGAAGACUAACGAGGAGGAAAAAAGCCUGCUUUGGAUGAGCAAGGAAGAACAAUAACAACUAGCUAUAUCAGAUAAACAUGGUCAGGAAAAGCAGGGAGAGAGCAAGCUAGUAGUAGUAACAUUAUUAUUUGAAACCUCACAUGCGCAUGUAUCUUUAUAUUUAAGCAAUUAGGUGCCUCAGAGGUUUGUGGUAUAUGGACAAAAUACCACGGCUUAGGGCUGUUCUUAUGCACGUUGCAAUGCGGAGUGCCUGGAUACGGCCCUUAGCCGUGGUAUAUUGGCCAUAUACCACAAACCCCCAAGGUGCCUUAUUGCUAUUAAAAACUGGUUACCAACGUAAUUACAACCGUAAACAAGUAAGAUUGACACAUACCCGUGGUAUACAGUCUGAUAUACUAUGGCUUGCUAUUUGUCUCAUGUUGUACCGAUCAUGAACAAGACUGAAUUCUGUUGAAUUGUCAACUGGUCUAAAUUCUUGUUAGGAAGACAUUGCUGUUCAGAAUGACAUGUUUAUGGCUGUUGGUGAUCACAGGAAUCUCCACAUGCUAUGUUGAACGAGCACCAGGGAUGGAGGGGGAGGAAAACAGACAGCUUCUUUCUACCACACCUUCACCAAGUCAUACAAUGUUUGCUUCAUGAACAAUUGUUACAUCUUAAAUAAAUACAGAAAUAUUUUAGUUUAUUCUGUUUCUAAUAUUUUUUAUGAUGGAUGUGAGUAAUUUAGCAGGUCUAUAGUAUGUAUUGGUUCGAAACGUUUAUUAAGUAUCUAUUCAGUCAACUCACUUUUAUUUUUGCUAAAAUGUAUGUUUUGUACUGUUACUUUUUACAUGCUGAAACAGUCUCAUUAGUUUUGAGCUAGACUACGAUCAGGGAAAUGUCUACUGUAAAUGUCUACUACCCUUUUUUUAAAUGUUGAUGAAUGAAAUUAGCACCGCUUCUAAUAGUUUGUUGCUUUUGUCUGGUGACGAAGUGGGUAACAUGGAAUUCAUUGGAGGAGGAAGGGAGAAUUAAUGAGAAUCAGAACUUGGACAAUGCACAAUAAGUAGGAUAAAUGUACAUCCUAGCAAUGACAAAAUAAACUGCAGAGGUAGCCUUAAGAUAACAUUAGAUAUGUGCAUGUUAUGUACUGGACAGAUGGGAACUUAAGCGGUGAUGUCUCAGUUUGCACCAUAUUUUCACAUGGACGUAUAUACAUAUACUGAACAAAAAUAUAAAUGCAACAUGUAAAGUGUUGGUCUCAUGUUUCAUGAGCUGAAAUAAAAUAUUCCAGACAUUUUCCAUAUGCACAAGACGCUUAUUUGUCUCAAAUGUUGUGUACUCUGGUCCUUCCUCUGCUGUCUUAAGCAUUUGAAAUCUGGUCGUAUUUUUGUUGAUGCUAUUAGAACUCUGUAUAAUGGUGGCAAUAGCUGUAUCAAAAUCUGUCAUGGAACAUCCUCAAGGUUUAACAUUUACAAAGAAAUACGACAAGGUUGUCCAAUUUCACCUUUUUAAUUUUUUUUGUUAGUAUCUCAAAUGUUAUGCUCAAUAUUUCAUAAAAUUCCAUUUGAAGGCAUGGUGGAUGACACCUCACUUUAAAAAAAAAGUGUAACAAGCUAGAUUAGCUGAAAUGUUUGUUUUGAAGGAGCUGUCAAUCCAGCAGAUUGUAACAUCUCUGAAAAAGAUACUGUAACCUAUUGCCUAUCAAUGUCUAGGCAUACUGUGUAAUAAAAUCGAUAAUUGUGUAGUAAAAACGUUAAUGUGUUUUUGCAGAGUAUACAACCAUGCAGACAAACAUCCAUAGAGAUCAGUGGACAAUGGGCUGCACUGAAAAAAACGCAUGGUUCCACAGAAUACCAACUGGGAUGGAUCACGAGGCAAAUGUGGCUUCUUCAUCACCAUCUUUUUGCUUGUGUUAAUAAAAUAAUUAUAAAAAUACUCUCGCUAGCUUUGAUCCAUUCCUGGGCCUGCAGGACACACAUUUAUUUGUUUGUCAGACAAAUCAUUGGGUCGAAACUACAGAACACACAUGGUUAAUGUUCAGAAUGGUUUAAUAUAUAUAUAUAUAUAUAUAUAUAUAUAUAUAUAUAUAUAUAUAUAUAUAUAUAUAUAUAUAUAUAUACAUACAUACAUACAUACAUACAUACAUACACAUAUAUAUAUAUAUAUAUAUAUAUACAUACAUACAUAUAUAUAUGUAUAUAUGUAUAUAUAUAUACAUACAUACAUAUAUGUAUAUAUAUAUAUAUAUAUUAAACCAUUCUGAACAUUAACCAUGUGUGUUCUGUAGUUUCGACCCAAUGAUUCGUCUGACAAACAAAUAAAUGUGUGUGUAUGUGUAUAUAUAUAUAUGUAUGUAAUGUCUCUAGAGUGGUGCAGCGGUCUAAGGCACUGCAUCUCAGUUCAAGAGGCAUCACUACAGUCCCUGGUAAAAAUCCAGGCUGUAUCACAUCCAGCCGAGUCUCAUAGGGCGGCACACAAUUGGCCCAGCGUCAUCUGUGUUUUGCCGGGGUAGGCCGUCAUUGUAAAUAAGAAUGUGUUCUUAACUGACUUGCCUAGUUAAAUAAAGGUGAAAUAAAAUACAAAUAAUUGUUUCAUUUCAAAUUCAAAGUGAUGUAAUAUAGUGCCGAAACAACAUAAAAUGUGUCCCUGUUCCAAGGAACUCACUGAACAUAAUGUAAUGACCUGGCUAGAUCAUAAAGGAACAAUUGUCCAGACAGAGGUAUGAGUUUACAAAUUCCCAGUUUAUUAACCCAACUGAACAUAGGCUACUGUUUGGCCGCAGCCCACGCCAAAUAAAUCAAGGAUACCCGUAUGAAACAACUGACCAUCUCUUUUUAAGACCAGAGGUAAGAGAGAACAAUGGCUAAACAUGGCUUUAGACUUGCGAUGCUCCACCUCCCUGCCAACCACCCUCCUCCCCCCACGCCGCUCCACCAACCACCAGGAUGCCUGGCACAAGAACAUUCCAGCCGUUUUCGUGGUUGGCAGAUAGCAGGUUGACUGGCAUGUCAGACCCCGCGAACACUGGGUACUGGUAAGUACAACACAACCAGUGAACAGCAUAACACAUAACAAACAGCUGUCUGUGCGGGUCACUACAUAGCCCACCCACCACAAAGUCUCUCGUCCCCAAGGGAACAAACUAAAUCCCUGAAGCAAUCCGGAGGUCUCCUUUGCCUGUGUGGCCGUGAUGGUUGCAGAGUGUCCAGAUUAGAGGUCGACCGAUUAUGAUUUUUCAACGUCGAUACCAAUAUCGAUUAUUGGAGGACCAAAAAUAGCCGAUGCCGAUUUGUUUUAUUUAUUUAUUUGUAAUAAUGACAAUUACAACAAUACUGAAUGAACACUUUUAUUUGAACUGAAUAUAAUACAUCAAUAAAAUCAAUUUAGCCUCAAAUAAAUAAUGAAACAUGUUCAAUUUGGUUUAAAUAAUGCAAAAACAAAGUGUUGGAGAAGAAGGUAAAAGUGCAACAUGUGCCAUGUAAAAAGCUAACGUUUAAGUUCCUUGCUCAGAACAUGAGAACAUAUGAAAGCUGGUGGUUUCUUUUAACACGAGUCUUCAAUAUUAAUUAAACAAAACGUUUAUUCUUUCAGUGAAAUACGGAACCGUUCCAUAUUUCAUCUAACGGGUGGCAUCCAUAAGUCUAAAUAUUCCUGUUACAUUGCACAACAGAGAGAAUUCACAACCUUCAAUGUUAUGUCAUAAUUACGUAAAAUUCUGGCAAAUUAGUUUGCAACGAGCCAGGCGGCCCAAACUGUUGCAUAUACCCUGACUCUGUGUGUAAUGAACGCAAGAGAAGUGACACAAUUUCCAUAGUUUAAUAUUGCCUGCUAACCUGGAUUUCUUUCAGCUAAAUAUGCAGGUUUAAAAAAAAUAUACAGUACCUCUGUGUAUUCAUUUAAAGAAUGGCAUUGGUGUUUAUGGUUAGGUACAUUCGUGCAACGAGUGUGCUUUUUUUCGCAAAUGCGCUUUUGAUAAGUCAUCCCCCUUUUGGCGAAGUUGGUCUUCACACAGUUCGCAACGAGCCAUGCGGCCCAAACUGCUGCAUAUAGCCUGACUCUGUUGCACAGAACGCAAGAGAAGUGACACAAUUUCCCUAGUUAAAAGAAAUUCAUGUUAGCAGGCAUUAUUAACUAAAUAUGCAGGUUUAAAAAUAUAUAUACUUGUGUAUCAAUUUUAAGAAAGGCCUUGAUGUUUAUGGAUAAAUACACAUUGGUGCAACACAGUGCUUUUUUCGCGAAUGCGCUUGUUAAAUAACCGUUUGGUGAAGUAGGCUAUGAUUCAAUGAUAAAUUAACAGGCACCGCCUCGAUUAUAUGCAACGCAGGACAAGCUAGAUAAACUAGUAAUAUCAUCAACCAUGUGUAGUUAACUAGUGAUUAUGUUAAGAUUGAUUGUUUUUAUAAGAUGCGUUUUAUGCUAGCUAGCACCUUACCUUGGCUCCUUGCUGCACUGGCUUACCAGCUGCACUCGCAUAAUGUAAUCGGCCGUGAUCGGUGUUCAAAAAUGCUGAUUACCGAUUGUUACGAAAUCUUGAAAUCGGCCCUAAUUAAUCGGCCAUUCCGAUUAAUCGGUCGACCUCUAGUCCAGAUGUGAAACAGGGGGCUCAGUCCAUGGCAGGGGGCUGCCCAUCUGAGGCCCAGGGAAUGAAGGCAGGGAAAUGGGGGACAAGGAUGUGGGAACGGGGAAUACAGUCUGUGGCUCUGGGGAACCACGCUGUGACACAGGGAGGGAGACUGGGUGAGUGGGCUGUCUGGAGCCUUGUAUGCAGCGCCUGGGUGUGGGUGCCUGGGGAAUGUCA
rnacentral:lncRNA from 1 species